rnacentral:rRNA from 1 species
UGAGUAACACGUGGGCAAUCUGCCCUGCACUUCGGGAUAAGCCUGGGAAACUGGGUCUAAUACCGGAUAGGACCUUUAGACGCAUGUCUUUUGGUGGAAAGCUUUUGCGGUGUGGGAUGGGCCCGCGGCCUAUCAGCUUGUUGGUGGGGUGAUGGCCUACCAAGGCGACGACGGGUAGCCGGCCUGAGAGGGUGUCCGGCCACACUGGGACUGAGAUACGGCCCAGACUCCUACGGGAGGCAGCAGUGGGGAAUAUUGCACAAUGGGCGCAAGCCUGAUGCAGCGACGCCGCGUGGGGGAUGACGGCCUUCGGGUUGUAAACCUCUUUCACCAUCGACGAAGGUUCGGGUUUUCUCGGACUGACGGUAGGUGGAGAAGAAGCACCGGCCAACUACGUGCCAGCAGCCGCGGUAAUACGUAGGGUGCGAGCGUUGUCCGGAAUUACUGGGCGUAAAGAGCUCGUAGGUGGUUUGUCGCGUUGUUCGUGAAAUCUCACGGCUUAACUGUGAGCGUGCGGGCGAUACGGGCAGACUAGAGUACUGCAGGGGAGACUGGAAUUCCUGGUGUAGCGGUGGAAUGCGCAGAUAUCAGGAGGAACACCGGUGGCGAAGGCGGGUCUCUGGGCAGUAACUGACGCUGAGGAGCGAAAGCGUGGGGAGCGAACAGGAUUAGAUACCCUGGUAGUCCACGCCGUAAACGGUGGGUACUAGGUGUGGGUUUCCUUCCUUGGGAUCCGUGCCGUAGCUAACGCAUUAAGUACCCCGCCUGGGGGAGUACGGGCCGCAAGGCUAAAACUCAAAAGGAAUUGACGGGGGGCCCGCACAA